UACGGAGGGUGCAGGCGUUAAUCGGAAUUACUGGGCGUAAAGCGCACGCAGGCGGUCUGUCAAGUCGGAUGUGAAAUCCCCGGGCUCAACCUGGGAACUGCAUUUGGAACUGGCAAGCUAGAGUCUUGGAGAGGGGGGUAGGAUUCCAGGUGUAGCGGUGAAAUGCGUAGAGAUCUGGAGGAAUACCGGUGGCGAAGGCGGCCCCCUGGACAAAGACGGACGCUCAGGUGCGAAAGCGUGGGGAGCAAACAGG
rnacentral:misc_RNA from 1 species